CCUGGCUAGAAAAACCACAAAACUGCUUGAAAACUGCUUGGUGCUCAUAGACACAAAGAGACUACUUUUUCCUUACUAUCAAAAAUGGCCCGGGGCUUUAUGAAGGGCCGGGGGCUUUAUUUUAAGGCUGUGUCCCUUCUGUCCCUACCAAGGUUCCUCUUCAGGCUCUAUAGUCUUGGAAACACAAUCACCCUAACUCCCACCAUAGACGCCUGCCAUGUACUACCAUAAGUGCCGAGUCAGCAAAGUGCAAGCCCUCACAGAAUGACCAAUGUUGGAC
rnacentral:lncRNA from 1 species